rnacentral:rRNA from 1 species
AUUGAAUGCUGGCGGCAGGCCUAACACAUGCAAGUCGAGCGGAUGAAGGGAGCUUUCUCCUGGAUUCAGCGGCGGACGGGUGAGUAAUGCCUAGGAAUCUGCCUGGUAGUGGGGGAUAACGUCCGGACACGGGCGCUAAUACCGCAUACGUCCUGAUGGAGAAAGUGGGGGAUCUUCGGACCUCACGCUAUCAGAUGAGCCUAGGUCGGAUUAGCUAGUUGGUGGGGUAAAGGCCUACCAAGGCGACGAUCCGUAACUGGUCUGAGAGGAUGAUCAGUCACACUGGAACUGAGACACGGUCCAGACUCCUACGGGAGGCAGCAGUAGGGAAUAUUGGACAAUGGGCGAAAGCCUGAUCCAGCCAUGCCGCGUGUGUGAAGAAGGUCUUCGGAUUGUAAAGCACUUUAAGUUGGGAGGAAGGGCAGUAAGUUAAUACCUUGCUGUUUUGACGUUACCAACAGAAUAAGCACCGGCUAACUUCGUG